GUUUGAUCCUGGCUCAGGAUGAACGCUAGCUACAGGCUUAACACAUGCAAGUCGAGGGGCAGCAUUUUAGUUUGCUUGCAAACUAAAGAUGGCGACCGGCGCACGGGUGAGUAACACGUAUCCAACCUGCCGAUAACUCGGGGAUAGCCUUUCGAAAGAAAGAUUAAUAUCCGAUGGUAUAUUAAAACCGCAUGGUUUUACUAUUAAAGAAUUUCGGUUAUCGAUGGGGAUGCGUUCCAUUAGUUUGUUGGCGGGGUAACGGCCCACCAAGACUACGAUGGAUAGGGGUUCUGAGAGGAAGGUCCCCCACAUUGGAACUGAGACACGGUCCAAACUCCUACGGGAGGCAGCAGUGAGGAAUAUUGGUCAAUGGACGAGAGUCUGAACCAGCCAAGUAGCGUGAAGGAUGACUGCCCUAUGGGUUGUAAACUUCUUUUAUAUGGGAAUAAAGUAUUCCACGUGUGGGAUUUUGUAUGUACCAUAUGAAUAAGGAUCGGCUAACUCCGUGCCAGCAGCCGCGGUAAUACGGAGGAUCCGAGCGUUAUCCGGAUUUAUUGGGUUUAAAGGGAGCGUAGGUGGAUUGUUAAGUCAGUUGUGAAAGUUUGCGGCUCAACCGUAAAAUUGCAGUUGAAACUGGCAGUCUUGAGUACAGUAGAGGUGGGCGGAAUUCGUGGUGUAGCGGUGAAAUGCUUAGAUAUCACGAAGAACUCCGAUUGCGAAGGCAGCUCACUAGACUGCAACUGACACUGAUGCUCGAAAGUGUGGGUAUCAAACAGGAUUAGAUACCCUGGUAGUCCACACAGUAAACGAUGAAUACUCGCUGUUUGCGAUAUACAGUAAGCGGCCAAGCGAAAGCAUUAAGUAUUCCACCUGGGGAGUACGCCGGCAACGGUGAAACUCAAAGGAAUUGACGGGGGCCCGCACAAGCGGAGGAACAUGUGGUUUAAUUCGAUGAUACGCGAGGAACCUUACCCGGGCUUAAAUUGCAUUUGAAUAAUCUGGAAACAGGUUAGCCGCAAGGCAAAUGUGAAGGUGCUGCAUGGUUGUCGUCAGCUCGUGCCGUGAGGUGUCGGCUUAAGUGCCAUAACGAGCGCAACCCUUAUCUUUAGUUACUAACAGGUCAUGCUGAGGACUCUAGAGAGACUGCCGUCGUAAGAUGUGAGGAAGGUGGGGAUGACGUCAAAUCAGCACGGCCCUUACGUCCGGGGCUACACACGUGUUACAAUGGGGGGUACAGAAGGCAGCUACCUGGUGACAGGAUGCUAAUCCCAAAAACCUCUCUCAGUUCGGAUCGAAGUCUGCAACCCGACUUCGUGAAGCUGGAUUCGCUAGUAAUCGCGCAUCAG
rnacentral:rRNA from 1 species